AGAGUUUGAUCAUGGCUCAGGAUGAACGCUGGCGGCGUGCCUAACACAUGCAAGUCGAGCGAUUCUCUUCGGAGAAGAGCGGCGGACGGGUGAGUAACGCGUGGGUAACCUGCCUCAUACACAUGGAUAACAUACCGAAAGGUAUGCUAAUACAAGAUGGUAUAAGAGAUUCGCAUGGGUUUCUUAUCAAAGCUCCGGCGGUAUGAGAUGGACCCGCGUCUGAUUAGCUAGUUGGUAAGGUAACGGCUUACCAAGGCGACGAUCAGUAGCCGACCUGAGAGGGUGAUCGGCCACAUUGGAACUGAGACACGGUCCAAACUCCUACGGGAGGCAGCAGUGGGGAAUAUUGCACAAUGGGCGAAAGCCUGAUGCAGCAACGCCGCGUGAGCGAUGAAGGCCUUCGGGUCGUAAAGCUCUGUCCUCAAGGAAGAUAAUGACGGUACUUGAGGAGGAAGCCCCGGCUAACUACGUGCCAGCAGCCGCGGUAAUACGUAGGGGGCUAGCGUUAUCCGGAUUUACUGGGCGUAAAGGGUGCGUAGGUGGUUUCUUAAGUCAGGAGUGAAAGGCUACGGCUCAACCGUAGUAAGCUCUUGAAACUGGGAAACUUGAGUGCAGGAGAGGAAAGUGGAAUUCCUAGUGUAGCGGUGAAAUGCGUAGAUAUUAGGAGGAACACCAGUAGCGAAGGCGGCUUUCUGGACUGUAACUGACACUGAGGCACGAAAGCGUGGGGAGCAAACAGGAUUAGAUACCCUGGUAGUCCACGCCGUAAACGAUGAGUACUAGGUGUCGGGGGUUACCCCUCUCGGUGCCGCAGCUAACGCAUUAAGUACUCCGCCUGGGGAGUACGCUCGCAAGAGUGAAACUCAAAGGAAUUGACGG
rnacentral:rRNA from 1 species